UACAUAGGUCGCAAGCGUUAUCCGGAAUUAUUGGGCGUAAAGCGUUCGUAGGCUGUUUGUUAAGUCUGGAGUUAAAUCCCGGGGCUCAACCCCGGCUCGCUUUGGAUACUAGCAAACUAGAGUUAGAUAGAGGUAAGCGGAAUUCCAUGUGAAGCGGUGAAAUGCGUAGAUAUAUGGAAGAACACCAAAGGCGAAGGCAGCUUACUGGGUCUAUACUGACGCUGAGGGACGAAAGCGUGGGGAGCAAACA
rnacentral:rRNA from 1 species